rnacentral:lncRNA from 1 species
AAAACCGUCCCCUGGAUCUGCUCCACAAGAUGGAGUCCAAAAGUUCCAAUCAGCUCUCCUGGCUCUCAGUAUCAAUGGAUGCUGCUUUAGGCUGUAGGACUAACAUAUUCCAGAUUCAGCGUUCUGGAGGGCGUAAACAUACAGAGAAGCAUGCAAGCAGUGGUUCCACUGUCCACAUCCACCCCCAGGCUGCUCCUGUUGUCUGCAGACAUGUUUUGGAUACACUCAUUCAGUUGGCCAAGGUGAGGAGCUUGAAGGAAUCCUUGACCCCAGGGCUUUCUGGGCAUCAACACCUUGGGUGAGAUCUGGACAGUAAAGGGCUAACGAAUCUCUUUGUUUUUUAUUUUAUAUUGUGCAAUUUGCUGUUUCUGAGAAAUUGUCCAAUAAAUCACUUCGUGGAGUUUUA